GGGGGUACAGCUCAGUGGUAGAGUAUUCGACUGCAGAUCGAGAGGGCACCGGUUCAAACCUGGGUUUCCUCU